GGCUGUUGGGACGGAAAACGGAAAAAUGACUUUUGUUAGGAAACAACACAUGGCAGACUUCAGCCCCAACCCUUAAUUUUCCCAACCGCCCCUCUCAAUUGAAAGUUUCAUAAGUAAAGCAAAAUGCAUCGAAUCCCACGUUUUCCCCGUUUAUGGUGGCGUACACAUACCAUCCACCCGAGGGAGAACUUCCAAUUAGAUUUCCGCAUCGCACCUUCCUUACAGAGAAGAGGCUAUUAUUUCAAUUGGAAAAAAGGAAAAUCGAGCCUCCACCAGACGUGACGUUGGGGACGUUUCUGUCCUGUUCCUUAUUUAGUAGAAAUAAGUAGUUGUGAUUGUGGGUGUGUCACUCACCUGGAUGAUAACAAGAAUUCUUCGAUAUUGAAAAUUUUGGUGCUUAAAGUAAUAUUCUAGUUUUAUUUUUUUUUCGUA